rnacentral:rRNA from 1 species
UACGUAGGGUGCAAGCGUUGUCCGGAAUUAUUGGGCGUAAAGAGCUCGUAGGCGGUCUGUCGCGUCGGCUGUGAAAUCCCGAGGCUCAACCUCGGGUCUGCAGUCGAUACGGGCAAACUGGAGUGUUGCAGGGGAGACUGGAAUUCCUGGUGUAGCGGUGAAAUGCGCAGAUAUCAGGAGGAACACCAGCGGCGAAGGCGGCGCUCUGGGCCGGAACUGACGCUGAGGAGCGAAAGCGUGGGUAGCAAACAGG